rnacentral:rRNA from 1 species
CGGGGUGCAGCAGGCGCGAAAACUUUACAAUGCUGGCAACAGCGAUAAGGGGACCUCGAGUGCCAGGAUACAAUCUUGGCUGUCGUAAUGCCUAAAAAGCAUUGCAUAGCAAGGGCCGGGCAAGACCGGUGCCAGCCGCCGCGGUAACACCGGCGGCUCGAGUGGUAACCGCUAUUAUUGGGUCUAAAGGGUCUGUAGCCGGCCGGAUAAGUCUUUUGGGAAAUCUGGCAGCUUAACUGUCAGGCUUUCAGAAGAUACUGUUUCGGCUCGAGGCCGGGAGAGGUGAGAGGUACUUCAGGGGUAGGGGUGAAAUCUUGUAAUCCUUGAAGGACCACCAGUGGCGAAGGCGUCUCACCAGAACGGACCUGACGGCAAGGGACGAAAGCUAGGGGCACGAACCGGAUUAGAUACCCGGGUAGUCCUAGCCGUAAACGAUACUCGCUAGGUGUCGGCCGCGGUGCGACCGUGGUCGGUGCCGUAGGGAAGCCGUGAAGCGAGCCACCUGGGAAGUACGGCCGCAAGGCUGAAACUUAAAGGAAUUGGCGGGGGAGCACAAGGGCGAAUUC